UUUCCUCCAAGAAGGGUCGUUUGGCAGAAUGCCCAUCGUCAUUAUCCGUUUUUAAUGUUCUUGCGUAACUUAAGAAGUCACGCGCGUUACUGCCAAGUGGUAAAAAUUUCCGAGGAGCAAAUGUUUAAUCUUCCUACUCGUUACCCGAGGCGACGUAACAGAAACGUCCCUGGCAAUGGCGCAGUCGAUUUUCGUGGCUACUAACAGAGAUUUUUCGGUACUAGAAAGACAAUCCGAGCGGAAGUAUAACGAGGUGCACGUCCCGAACAGCGAGAAACUUAACUCCUUUCCACAACUAGGUCAAACUAUGAAUAGCGGCUAAUUCCGAUGUUAAAAAUUAUUUACGUACGCUAUCGACAAUAGCGGCGAAGCGCUCUUACGCAACACGACCAAAGACUAUUCUGGUAACAAUUAAAUGACAUUAGCAGACGUUUAAGGGCCGUUUCUCCUAAUUAUUUUGGGCGUAUUACUGGCAGUAGGACGGUAGACUCUUCCGGGCUGUCAUAAUACGAGAAAGUGUUACAAAAACCCCUCCGCGGCGUACAACAGAUAAAACUAGAAAAUGCGAUCUUAACGUCAAUCAAAAGAAUACUGAAUAUUGGACUAUUGUUUACAAUUCAUUUCAUAAAGGAGGAUGGAACCACGGACGUAAAUGGUAGAAAUGCUUAUAUCUUUCAGCCUGUAUCGUCUCGGAAUAUGUCUUUGUAUCUCGCUAUUUGGAGUAUCUUUAGAGAAACACAUAGAAAAGUUAGGCUAUAAUAAAUUGACGUUGGAAGAUAUAAUUUUGUAUGCAUAACAUAAAUGAUAUAAAUCUUGUUAAUAACUUAAGAGUUAGAAUAGUGGCUAAUUACUCGACAAUGAUAAAUGUGGUAACAACAACGGCGAUGAUGAAUUCGUAAGUGACUUAUAAACAGGAAAUUUCACAACUAAGCGUGUUCGUCAUCUUUCCCCUGUCUGAGAUAACAUGACGAAUUCUAUAGGUAGGGCCUUUAUCUCUUCAUAUUACUCACCUUCUGCAUCUGAAGGAAUGGUAGAAGGUAUUCUUAUGAAAAAUACAACUUAUUUUUUAAUAGAAAAGUAACGUUUUUUACUAUUUGCUGCGUGACUUGUUCUAGUUUUCUCUUCCUUUAAAUUUGGUAAAUGAUGUUAGAAAUAAUCAUUUUUUUACUCGAUUAUAUCUUACGUGAAGAAUUUAUUUUGUGAAAGAAAGCAUUUACGCUCACAGAAUUUAUAGAAUUUGUUUAAAAAAGAGAAGAAAAUAAGAGACGUGAUCCACUUAAAAUGGUUU